rnacentral:rRNA from 1 species
GACGAACGCUGGCGGCAGGCCUAACACAUGCAAGUCGAGCGAGCGGCGGACGGGUGAGUAAUGUAUGGGGACUGCCCGAUAGAGGGGGAUAACUACUGGAAACGGUGGCUAAUACCGCAUACUAUCGGAUAACCCAUAUGGGAUUAGCUAGUGGGUGGGGUAAAGGCUCACCAAGGCGACGAUCUCUAGCUGGUCUGAGAGGAUGAGCAGCAACACUGGGACUGAGACACGGCCCAGACUCCUACGGAGGCAGCAGUGGGGAAUUUUGCACAAUGGGCGAAAGCCUGAUACAGCCAUGCCGCGUGUAUGAAGAAGGCCUUAGGGUUGUAAAGUACUUUCGGCAGAGAAGCGGUACCCGCAGAAGAAGCACCGGCUAACUCCGUGCCAGCAGCCGCGGUAAUAC